rnacentral:rRNA from 1 species
GAUGAACGCUGGCGGCGUGCCUAAUACAUGCAAGUCGAGCGAACAGACGAGGAGCUUGCUCCUCUGACGUUAGCGGCGGACGGGUGAGUAACACGUGGAUAACCUACCUAUACGACUGGGAUAACUUCGGGAAACCGGAGCUAAUACCGGAUAAUAUAUUGAACCGCAUGGUUCAAUAGUGAAAGACGGUUUUGCUGUCACUUAUAGAUGGAUCCGCGCCGCAUUAGCUAGUUGGUAAGGUAACGGCUUACCAAGGCAACGAUGCGUAGCCGCCCUGAGAGGGUGAUCGGCCACACUGGAACUGAGACACGGUCCAGACUCCUACGGGAGGCAGCAGUAGGGAAUCUUCCGCAAUGGGCGAAAGCCUGACGGAGCAACGCCGCGUGAGUGAUGAAGGUCUUCGGAUCGUAAAACUCUGUUAUUAGGGAAGAACAAAUGUGUAAGUAACUAUGCACGUCUUGACGGUACCUAAUCAGAAAGCCACGGCUAACUACGUG